UGCUUUUGCUCUCCUGCCCCUCCAGCUGCCACCGAGCUAUGAAGAAGCCUUAAGGUCACUGCCAGCACCACGACUCAACCGUGGCUCUGCUCACCCACCCCAGGAGGCAGCCACCUGCCCUGCUCCGGGAAACCCUACUGUGUAGGGAGGGAACAAGCUCCUCCAUUCUGCCCCUUCCCACUUCUCCAGGGAACUGGCAAGAUGCCCCCACAAAUCUCCCCCAGCUGGGCCUUGGUACAUGAGACCUCAUGAGAAGGAAGCCAAAGUGAACCUCAACAAACCCCGGAUCACCUUUGCCAAGGAUCUGCAGUUGGGAAAUCUGGGGUCAUGCCCUGAGAACACAGUGACAAGUUCAAGGCAGACCUCCAGAACUGGGAGGUUUCUCUGCCCUCAGUCUCUGGAGCUCCUGCCUUCAGGGCAAAGGAGAGUCCUUGGAAGGAAGCCACUAGACUCUACAACCCCCUCUCUGGGGCAGCAG